AGCAAUGUUAUUGUCUGGUGGAAUGGUACUGUGACAGAAGUUCUGCACAACAGGUUUCUGGAGCAGAGUGAAAAGGAAUUCUCCAAACCCCACAGCCCCCAGACCAACAAAGAUUAGUAAA